AUUUAAGUUGCUGCAGUUAAAAAUCUCGUAGUUGGAUCUUGGGUCGUAAAGGUCGGUCCGCCUACUCGGUGUGCACCUGCCCUUCCAUCCCUUUUGUCGGCGGCAUGCUCCUGACCUUAAUUGGCUGGGUCAUGGCUCCGGCGCUGUUACAUUGAAAAAUUAGAGUGCUCAAAGCAAGCUUAUGCUUUGAAUACAUUAGCAUGGAAUAACGUGAUAGGAGUCUGGUCCUAUUAUGUUGGCCUUCGAGACUGGAGUAAUGAUUAAUAGGGACUGACGAGGGCAUUUGUAUUUCAUUGUUAGAGGUGAAAUUCUUGGAUUUAUGAAAGACGGACCACUGUGAAAGCAUUUUCCAAGGAUGUUUUCAUUAAUCAAGAAUGAAAGUUGGGGGCUUGAAGACGAUCAGAUACCGUCCUAGUAUCAACCAUAAACGAUGCUGACCAGGGAUUGGCAGAUGUUGCUCUAAGGACUCCGCCAGCACCUUCUGAGUAAUUAGAGUGUUUGGGUUCCAGGGGGAGUAUGGUCGCAAGGUUGAAACUUAAAGGAAUUGAUGGAAGGGCACCACCAGGAGUGGAGCCUGUGGCUUAAUUUGACUCAACACGGGGAAACUUACCAAGUCCAGACAUAGUAAGGAUUGACAGAUUGAGAGCUCUUUCUUGAUUCUAUGGGUGGUGGUGCAUGGCCGUUCUUAGUUGGUGGAGAGAUUUUUCUGGUUAAUUCCGAUAACGAACGAGACCUCAGCCUGCUAACUAGCUACACGGAGGUUCCCCUUCACAGCCAGCUUCUUAGAGGGACUAUGGCCGUUUAGGCCAUGGAAGUUUGAGGCAAUAACAGGUCUGUGAUGCCCUUAGAUGUUCUGGGCUGCACACGCGCUACACUGAUGCAUCAAACGAGCUUUUCUUCCUAGUUCGAGAGGAUCAGGAAAUCUUCUCAAAUUGCAUCGUGAUGGGGAUAGACCAUUGCAAUUAUUGGUCUUCAACGAGGAAUUCCUAGUAAGCGCGUGUCAUCAACUCGUGUUGACUACGUCGCUGCCCUUUGUACACACCGCCCGUCGCUCCUACCGAUUGAAUGAUCCGGUGAGGUGUUCGUAUUGCGUCGAUGAUGGUGGUUCGCCGCCAUCGACGUCGUGAGAAGUUCAUUGAACCUUAUCAUUUAGAGGAAGGAGAAGUCGUAGCAAGGUUACCGUAGGUGAACUUGCUGUAG
rnacentral:rRNA from 1 species